rnacentral:lncRNA from 1 species
GGCGGAGCCGGGCUGGGGCGCGCACGGGGCGGGAACAGCCGGGGCGGGGCAGCCGCGGAGCCUGGCUGGGGCGCGCACGGGGCGGCGCUCGGGCUGCGCGGGCUCUCGGCGGUGGAGGCGGCGGCGGCAGCAGCAUCCUCUCUACCUCCGCUUCCCUACGGCCUCUUUCUCCUUCCUGUCCUUUCCCUCGUUUCUUCGGUCGCCGGGUCUCCCCGGCUCCUCCCACGGAGGAGCUCUAGCUCUGCGAGUAAGCUGUGACCGCGGGUGCGUCCUCUUUCCGCGCCCAGAUUUAUAUUGAUCUGAACCAGCCUAUAUUGUGAGUGCUGGCAAGAAUUAAGCCACCCUCUGAAACACUGCUGCCUGCUCUAAUGAAUGGUGGAGGCUGGAAUACAUAGAAGGCAAGUAUACUUACCUGGCCUCUGGCCAACAUGGGGAGCUUCAUACCCACUGAUGGCCCUGUCAGGUUCAGCAGUCAAACUGUAAUCUAUACCUUUAAGGAUCAUGAUACAUGAGAAG